rnacentral:lncRNA from 1 species
ACAGGUUGGGAGGGGACAUUAGGCACAAUCCUGGAAUCCUGGGUUACACAGUGCUGAGAGCUCACGAAAGGGACAAAGAACUCACAUGGAAGGUUAAAGGAAAACAAAGUCAAGGGCGGCGUCCAGGGAGGCAAAUUAGCAGAUUCAAUGUGUUGACUCCAUGUGCCUGCUCUCCCCAUGGUGGUCCCCUCGGAGAAACAGCUGGGUAUGGGCCUCAGAGAGCUGUGUGCAGAUUCCUGCCCUGCCUCUUGGAGCAAAUUGCUCACCUGCUCUGAGCUCUAGGUCCCUCCCCAGUGCAAUGAGCAUGGCUGAAAAGGCUCAGAGCCUGGGGGCGAUGGGUGUGGCUGAUUAUAAGGAGACCAGGUCAUUCCAAACAGAAAAAAAAAAAAAUCAGUAUGGACAAGACUUUCAUGACUUUCCUGGACCAAAGAUAGAAAAAUCUGGACAAGAGUUCUUUGCUGAAGCCAGCCUGGACAAUGGCAGAAACGUCGUUUCUAAUGACAUCACCAUGAAGAGCACCAUCUGUGUGAAUACCAGGGUGGGGAUGCCACCAACCUCGGCUGUCCAGAGCCCCUGCACCGGAAGGAGAUACACCCUGGGAGAACGAAAAGGGCACACAGUUCCCAGGAAGUCCUAGAAAGUAGCAUGAGCAGCAGACAAUUCAGAAGAUGGAAUAUUUCAACUCUAAAAGUAAGCACCUGCUGUCCCCAUGGUGAUCAUGUAGGGAAAACAUCAGAGAGUCCUGUGUGCCGACACUGCAAGGCCAAGCCUGCCCUGCCUCUUGGAACAAGUUGCUCACCUGCUCUAAGCUCCAGGUCCCUCCCUGGUGCAAUAAGCAUAGUGAGCCCCUGCUCCAUGGAGUUCUGAGAACUGCAUGGGAUCCUGCAGUUGCAGCCCUGGUGCUCAUAACCCUGAGGUGCUUGCCCUCUAGUUGGGCUGUGUGAAAAGGAAAAGAGAAGAGCCACCGAGUGACUUGCAUCCCCUGACCACGUCUCAGAUGAUGCAGAAGGCUUUCCAUGGCCCCCAACUCUCCUCCCUAGUGCGAGGCUGCAGCUCUUGUCAGGAAAAGGUGGAGCAGGUAAGGAAAGGCUUUGAAGUGAGCACAGGGUCCCUUGCUGAAGUGCCACUGACCUGGAGUCCUGAACUUC